UUCUCUAAAUUUGAUUUAUUAUUGAUCAUGUCUCAUAAUUUGGUUUGUCCACUACCCUUGCUUUUUUGGCAUUGUCCAAGAAAUUGACUGUAGAUGAACUCUUUUAUCUGAAGGAGUAGUUUGCACUGUUAGAACAUAACUUUGGGGAAUAUCUGGAUGGUAAGUUGAAGAAAGAAAGAACAGAUAGAGCGCUUAUUUGGUUUAUGAUUACCGGGUCUCCUUUGAAAGAUAACACCAAUCGUUAUUGUCCAUCUGGAUUGUAAAUAUGCAUAUGUUAACUAACGUCUUGUGCUUCUGUAAUUUGAAUCGGGUGUGGAUGAAACAGGACAUGAUGUUGCACCAUAAAUGUUACUAAGUAUCUUGCCUACACCUUCAAGUAUGCAAUUUUGACCAAGAUGGAUGUUCUGAUCUUGAGCAUAGGAGGCCCUAGUUAAUUAGAUCCUCCUCCAGUUGAGAAGGAAGUAGUGGAUACUCUUAUUUGUAUGAGAGACUUUGGCAGGCAGGAAUUAUAGUCAGGAGUACUAGAUGCCAAUGCUGAAACUGGUGCAUCCAAAGAGAACUAAGUGCUUUUGUUCUUGAUCUUGGUUGUGCUCUUCGGGUAUUUCCACUCCAAAUCUUAAGUGUUUGAGCUUUGGAGUUGAGCAUCCAGCUGCUUAAGUUGAUAGAUACAUUUGUCAUGCCUGUAACCUAUAUUCUUGUACCAGCUAAGCAGCUGGAGAGGAUUUUGUUUUUG